rnacentral:rRNA from 1 species
AACCUUCCCAAAAUUGGUGAAUAGCCUUCCGAAAGGAAGAUUAAUACACCGUAACAUAAUGAUGUGGCAUCACAUUAUUAUUAUAGCUCCGGCGAUUUUGGAUGGGCGUGCGCCUGAUUAGGUAGUUGGUGUGGGUAACGGCCUACCAAGCCUUCGAUCAGUAACUGGUGUGAGAGCACGACCAGUCACACGGGCACUGAGACACGGGCCCGACUCCUACGGGAGGCAGCAGUAAGGAAUAUUGGUCAAUGGACGCAAGUCUGAACCAGCCAUGCCGCGUGAAG